CCUACGGGAGGCAGCAGUGGGGAAUAUUGGACAAUGGGCGCAAGCCUGAUGCAGCCAUGCCGCGUGUAUGAAGAAGGCCUUCGGGUUGUAAAGCCCUUUUGUUGGGAAAGAAAUCCAGCCGGCUAAUACCUGGUUGGGAUGACGGUACCCAAAGAAUAAGCACCGGCUAACUUCGUGCCAGCAGCCGCGGU
rnacentral:rRNA from 1 species